rnacentral:tRNA from 1 species
GGUCCUGGCUCAGUUAGGAGAGUAUGGCGCUUGCAAUGCUGGGAUAGUGGGUUUGAUUCCCGCUGGGGCCA